GACAGUUAAAGCUUCCACGCACCAGCAAGAUGAGUUGUACCACACAGCGCCCAUGCCAAGGUCAGCAGUCUGAAUGGAGCUGAGACACUUACUGCCCGUGCCAAGCAGUGCCAAGCACCUCUGGAAGCCCCUGCCUAGGACCCCCAAAUUUAGAUUCAUGCUGCAGUCUGGAGAGUGUUUUGACGGCUGCCGGGCUACAGGGAAAAGCGCACUGCACACUGCCUCUGAGAUGAGACAGAGCUCUCCAGGCUGGGAGUCUGGGGAAGCCGGACCUGGGUAGCGCUGCUCAGCUUUGGACCAUUUUCCUAACAGAUGAGAUUUCUGGAGAUUCGCUUCUCAUUCUUUGAGGAUGACCUGCCUAGGGGUGGCUCCAUCCACAGUGGGCUGGACGCUCCCACAUCAAUCAAUAUCCAAGAAAAUGCCCAGCAGACAUAGCCACUGGCCAGGCAGAUGGAGACAAUUCUUCAGCUGAGUGAGAUCUCCUUUUCCCAGGGAAAAGCGGAGCCCUGUUCAGCAUUGGUCACCAGGUUGCAGGGGCAUCACUUCCUUUAUCCAGCAUCCUGCCUCUGCACCAUGUGAAGAAACCAACCCACUUUCCAAUGGCAAACCCAAGUUCAUGCAGACCAUAUUCUCCAACGUCUGUACUUCCCCUACCAGUUGGAUCUGUGUUCUUUUGCAGUUCUGGGGACUUUUCAAGACUCUACUGACUAAAUCUGCAAAGAGUGCCGAUAAUGCAACUCUUAAGCUGGCUUUCUGAGCUAUCAUGAUGUCUUUCCCUCUCUUUGUGCCCAAGACCGUGUGCUCUCUUGCCUUUGAAGAUCCAUGAUGUUUGAAACUCAUGAGACCCAAGGCAGAAGUGUCCAGACAACUAGGAGCUAAGUCAAGCUGCUUGCAUUCGCAAGCCAGGACUUGACUGGAGGGAAUACAAUAGAGGUGCAGACACUUCUGUGCUAACCUGUGAGUGCCUUUGGACCAUGAAAAUAAUGUGUCUGUGGGAAAGACAAUGGGUGGUUGCUUGUUGAUGCCUCCUGGGGUGCUGUUUGAUGAGCUCUGAAAUACGCACUCUGCUCACACACAGGGUCACAGAAGGCACGGGGAUCUUAAGUGCACUCGUUCUAGGGUCAUCAGUGAGCUGACACUAUGUGCAGAUGAGCCCCUCUGCUUCUCCUGGAAUCAUCAUUAGAUGGCCAGGAAGGAUCUCCGUGUUGGACUCCUCCAUUCUGAUACAUCCUGUCUUCAGGGAUAGAAAAUGUUCCUGGGGGAACACGGGAGCUAAAGAAACCUCAGCUUUUCUCGAGUGUCUGGAUUAUUCUGAACUACAUGGAUUAUGUUCAAGCCCAGGAUGAGUGGCUCAAAGCGUGGCUGUGAGUGAGUGAGACGAAGAAAAAUUGGGAUCAUAUUUUAUUCAACCAAGAGAAAUGGAAUCCAGCAUAGUAGAUUUCAUGUUCUUGGGAAAUAUGUCCUGUCAAUGGUGUUAUUGAGAAGAUAGGCAGAGAACACGUUCUCCCAGACAAGGAAGAGAAGAAGAUGUGGCCUUGGCUUUGUGAGCUGUGGCAGGGAGGGACCUAGCAUGGGAGCAAAGGUCUCUGGAAGCUUCCAGACAAACAAGUGUGGGUGUCGUUUGUCAGCUCCCUGAGAGUGGGUAUCGCAGAAGACUUCCUGUGUUUUCUGUGGAUAAAUACACAAAACUAUGCAUUACUGCAACACAA
rnacentral:lncRNA from 1 species